AGCGUAGACGGAACGGCAAGUUUGAAGUGAAAUACCUGGGCUUAACCCGGGAACUGCUUUGAAAACUGUCGAUCUAGAGUGUCGGAGAGGUAAGUGGAAUUCCUGGUGUAGUAGUGAAAUGCGUAGAUAUCAGGAAGAACACCGGAGGCGAAGGCGGCUUACUGGACGAUAACUGACGUUGAGGCUCGAAAGCGUGGGGAGCAAACA
rnacentral:rRNA from 1 species